rnacentral:rRNA from 1 species
GAUGAACGCUGACAGAAUGCUUAACACAUGCAAGUCGAUGGGGAAGUGGUGCUUGCACCAUGGUAACCAUGGCGGACGGGUGAGUAACGCGUAAGGAACUUGCCUGCGGGACUGGGAUAACAGCAGGAAACUGCUGAUAAUACCGGAUAAGGUCAUUAAGCUGCAUAGCUUAGUGAUGAAAGGAGACGCCUGCGGAGAGCCUUGCGUCCUAUUAGCUAGUUGGAGGGGUAACGGCCCACCAAGGCGAAGAUAGGUAGCCGGCCUGAGAGGGUGGACGGCCCACAGGGGAAUGAGAUAACGCCCUUACUUCUACCGGAAGCCGGAGUUGGGAAUAGUGGACAAUGGGGGCAACCCUGAUCCAGCAAUUCUGUGUGCACGAAGACGGUUUUCGGAGUGUAAAGUGCUUUCAGCAGGGAAGAAGGAAGUGACGGUACCUGCAGAAGAAGCGACGGCUAAAUACGUG